rnacentral:rRNA from 1 species
UGCCAGCCGCCGCGGUAAUACGGAGGGUGCGAGCGUUAAUCGGAAUUACUGGGCGUAAAGAGCACGUAGGUGGUUUGGUAAGUCGGAUGUGAAAUCCCUGGGCUCAACCUGGGAAUUGCAUUCGAAACUGCCUCACCAGAGUCUAGCAGAGGGAUGGGGAAUUCCGGGUGUAGCGGUGAAAUGCGUAGAGAUCCGGAGGAACAUCAGUGGCGAAGGCGGCUAACUGGCUCGGUACUGACGCUGAGAUGCGAAAGCGUGGGGAGCAAACAGGAUUAGAUA